GAUUUCGCUUGGGCAUUUUAGACUCCAGCCUCACUGCUAUAUAUACUGUUGGAAUCUAUCAUGUCUUGGGACAUUAUCGGUUAUGAAAUGUUGUCCAGCAGCAGCCUGAAGCUGAGGAAGUUUCCACUUUUUAAAACUCACACAGGGACUCCUGUGGUGAAGCAAUGAGCUUCUCAGAACAAGCGCAGAACAAGAGCUGCCAGUGCGAAAAGUUGGCUAGCCCGAGGCCCAUGGAGAUGAGCUGGCUAGCCCAAGGCGACACAGCCAGCUAGCAGUGGGGAGGUGCACGCCCCGCCAGUCACUGUGUCAAACAGCCUCCUCCCCAAGGUGAGCGACAGGAGGGUUUUCUUCCUUCCCGACGGAAAGCCCACAGUUCAGGAAAUGGGUGUUUUCACGAAGUGAAAUGACUAUCAUUGUUUUGUGGCAGCCGCAAUGUGGCCUGGAAAAGGCCACAUUAGAAUCAGUUCUGACGCGGAACCAAC